UAGAGUUUGAUCCUGGCUCAGGAUGAACGCUGGCGGCGUGCUUAACACAUGCAAGUCGAACGAACCUUCGGGUUAGUGGCGGACGGGUGAGUAACGCGUGAGAAUCUGCCCUCAGGAGGGGGAUAACGGUUGGAAACGACCGCUAAUACCCCAUAUGCCGAUAGGUGAAAUGAAUUUCGCCUGAGGAUGAGCUCGCGUCUGAUUAGCUUGUUGGUGAGGUAAUGGCUCACCAAGGCUUCGAUCAGUAGCUGGUCUGAGAGGAUGAUCAGCCACACUGGGGCUGAGACACGGCCCAGACUCCUACGGGAGGCAGCAGUGGGGAAUUUUCCGCAAUGGGCGAAAGCCUGACGGAGCAACGCCGCGUGAGGGACGAAGGCCUCUGGGCUGUAAACCUCUUUUCUCAAGGAAGAAGAUAUGACGGUACUUGAGGAAUAAGCCACGGCUAAUUCCGUGCCAGCAGCCGCGGUAAUACGGGAGUGGCAAGCGUUACCCGGAAUUAUUGGGCGUAAAGCGUCCGCAGGCGGCCUUUCAAGUCUGCUGUUAAAGCGUGGAGCUUAACUCCAUUAUGGCAGUGGAAACUGAUAGGCUUGAGUAUGGUAGGGGCAGAGGGAAUUCCCGGUGUAGCGGUGAAAUGCGUAGAUAUCGGGAAGAACACCAGUGGCGAAGGCGCUCUGCUGGGCCAUUACUGACGCUCAUGGACGAAAGCCAGGGGAGCGAAAGGGAUUAGAUACCCCUGUAGUCCUGCCCGUAAACGAUGAACACUAGGUGUCGGGGGAAUCGACCCCUUCGGUGUCGUAGCUAACGCGUUAAGUGUUCCGCCUGGGGAGUACGCACGCAAGUGUGAAACUCAAAGGAAUUGACGGGGGCCCGCACAAGCGGUGGAGUAUGUGGUUUAAUUCGAUGCAACGCGAAGAACCUUACCAGGGUUUGACAUCCUGAGAACCUCUUAGAAAUUUGAGGGUGCCUUCGGGAAUUCAGUGACAGGUGGUGCAUGGCUGUCGUCAGCUCGUGUCGUGAGAUGUUGGGUUAAGUCCCGCAACGAGCGCAACCCACGUUUUUAGUUGCCAGCAUUUAGUUGGGCACUCUAGAAAGACCGCCGGUGAUAAACCGGAGGAAGGUGUGGAUGACGUCAAGUCAUCAUGCCCCUUACACCCUGGGCUACACACGUACUACAAUGCCACGGACAAAGGGCAGCAAACUCGCGAGAGCUAGCAAAUCCCAUAAACCGUGGCUCAGUUCAGAUCGUAGGCUGCAACUCGCCUACGUGAAGUAGGAAUCGCUAGUAAUCGCAGGUCAGCAUACUGCGGUGAGUACGUUCCCGGGCCUUGUACACACCGCCCGUCACACCAUGGAAGUUGGCCAUGCCCGAAGUCGUUACUCCAACCCUUGUGGAGGAGGACGCCGAAGGUGGGGCUAAUGACUGGGGUGAAGUCGUAACAAGGUAACCA
rnacentral:rRNA from 1 species